rnacentral:lncRNA from 1 species
GGUUUUUCUCCGGUACCGGGAACCGAACUCACGACCUUGCGCUUGCCAGGCAGGCGCUUUUGCCACUGAGCUAAAUCCCCAGCCCCGCUGCUGCUGAUUAAUCAGCUCUUUCUGCAGAGGUUCAAGAGUAAGCAUUUAUGAGAAGGGUGCAAGUUCUCUCUGAAUGUUUACAAAAGCGUUAUUCAUUCUGUGAUCUUUUUCUUCAUUCAUAAAGUUUAUCUUCUUAAGAUUAGUGUAACUGGUUUUGCUUUGUUUUUGGACUUCAAGUUUUUUUGGGUGGCUAUGUGAAAUACAUUCCUGGACUUCUGCCCUCUUCACUUAUUCUUGGCCAUUGUCUUUGGUGUCCGCAUGCAGCUGCUCAAUCCACAACACCUUUAAUCGUGUUUAACAGUGUUGGGAAGUGUUUGUAGCUGAGAAAAUGCCAGAAAUGGUGUAAAGGCAACCAAAACCAAUUCUACUGGAGAACUAAUGUUGCAGAAUCCCUUCGCAUAUAUGGAAUACCAUAGGCUAUGUCUUAGACUUAUUACUCUAAAGUUGUACCUAAAUAAUGUACUGUAGCUUGUAGAUGGAUCCAGUUCAAUUUUAGAUGAAUAUAUGCUCUCCUUCAUCCUACUUAUCCAACAGAAUUAUCGGCAGAGACUUCUGUGCGUAUGUUCCUAGCCCAUUUCACAAACAGUUUCAAGUAGCAAGUACUGCCCUGGCAUCACGGAUACACUGUCAGAUACACAUCCAAUGUGACAGGUUCCGAUCACUUUAACAUUCUUAGCAGUUGUGCAGUAUCCUCCUGGCAGGUGGGCAAGGAAAGGAGGCCAAGGGAUGGCAACAGAUUCCCCAGAUUCCCAUCUGGUACAUGACAUCAUAAGUCUUUACUUUCCUAAUUAGACCCUAAAUAACUGUUUUCUCUUGAAACUUUGGACCAGCAUCCCAUGAUCUCAUGCUCAACCUCACCUGUUCUUUAGAACAAGCAAAAAUUGUGGAUGUAUAUUUUUUUGAACUGGGAAACGUGAUGUAACCAGAACUCUGUGGGCAAACACUCAGUAAACAAAACCCUUUUCUGAACCUUUUGUAUCUUGUGCAGCUCAAAGCCCCU